AGCGGCGGACGGGUGAGUAAUGCCUGGGAAAUUGCCCUGAUGUGGGAGAUAACCAUUGGAAACGAUGGCUAAUACCGCAUAAUAGCUUCGGCUCAAAGAGGGGGACCUUCGGGCCUCUCGCGUCAGGAUAUGCCCAGGUGGGAUUAGCUAGUUGGUGAGGUAAGGGCUCACCAAGGCGACGAUCCCUAGCUGGUCUGAGAGGAUGAUCAGCCACACUGGAACUGAGACACGGUCCAGACUCCUACGGGAGGCAGCAGUGGGGAAUAUUGCACAAUGGGCGCAAGCCUGAUGCAGCCAUGCCGCGUGUAUGAAGAAGGCCUUCGGGUUGUAAAGUACUCUCAGCAGUGAGGAAGGCAGGUACGUUAAUAGCGUGCUUGUUUGACGUUAGCUGCAGAAGAAGCACCGGCUAACUCCGUGCCAGCAGCCGCGGUAAUACGGAGGGUGCGAGCGUUAAUCGGAAUUACUGGGCGUAAAGCGCAUGCAGGUGGUUUGUUAAGUCAGAUGUGAGAGCCCGGGGCUCAACCUCGGAAUUGCAUUUGAAACUGGCAGA
rnacentral:rRNA from 1 species